rnacentral:tRNA from 1 species
GCCAGCGUGGCGUAGUGGUUUGAGCGUUAGACUACGACUCUGGAGACAAGGGUUCGAUUCCCCGCUUCGGCC